GGUAGCCGGCCUGAGAGGGCGACCGGCCACACUGGGACUGAGACACGGCCCAGACUCCUACGGGAGGCAGCAGUGGGGAAUAUUGCACAAUGGGCGAAAGCCUGAUGCAGCGACGCCGCGUGAGGGAUGACGGCCUUCGGGUUGUAAACCUCUUUCAGUAGGGAAGAAGCGCAAGUGACGGUACCUACAGAAGAAGCACCGGCUAACUACGUGCCAGCAGCCGCGGUAAUACGUAGGGUGCGAGCGUUGUCCGGAAUUAUUGGGCGUAAAGAGCUCGUAGGCGGCUUGUCACGUCGGAUGUGAAAGCCCGGGGCUUAACCCCGGGUCUGCAUUCGAUACGGGCAGGCUAGAGUUCGGUAGGGGAGAUCGGAAUUCCUGGUGUAGCGGUGAAAUGCGCAGAUAUCAGGAGGAACACCGGUGGCGAAGGCGGAUCUCUGGGCCGAUACUGACGCUGAGGAGCGAAAGCGUGGGGAGCGAACAGGAUUAGAUACCCUGGUAGUCCACGCCGUAAACGUUGGGAACUAGGUGUGGGCGACAUUCCACGUCGUCCGUGCCGCAGCUAACGCAUUAAGUUCCCCGCCUGGGGGAGUACGG
rnacentral:rRNA from 1 species